rnacentral:lncRNA from 1 species
AGUGAUCACUAAGGUCCUUACAGGAAACACCAGACUGAUACCUACCUAUCAGGAUUAUUUGUGAGGAUAACAUUGAGGAGAGUAGCCUUGUGGGAUUGGUGAUAAUCUGAGCAAGAUUUAGGGAGUCCCAUUGCUUUAGGGUUUAGUCAGGUGGUUUAAGCAUGUCCCAGUUUAGGUCACCUAGCAGGACAAAUUCAGACUUAGUGUAAAGGGUACAGGCCUGUGCUGAGGGCAGGUAGGGUACAGGCCGGGUACAGGCCGGUGCUGAGGGCAGGUAGGGUACGGGCCGGUGCUGAGGGCAGGUAGGGUACAGGUAGGGUACGGGCCGGUGCUGAGGGCAGGUGGGGUACGGGCCGGUGCUGAGGGCAGGUGGGGUACGGGCCGGUGCUGAGGGCCGGUGGGGUCCAGGCCGGUGCUGAGGGCCGGUGGGGUCCAGGCCGGUGCUGAGGGCCGGUGGGGUCCAGGCCGGUGCUGAGGGCCGGUGGGGUACAGGCCGGUGCUGAUGGAGGACGAUAGCACCCAGCAACAGUCAACAAAGAGCUAUUUGAAAGUUUUUAAAGCUUAAAAACGAGCAAAUCAAAUUGUUUGGGGGACAGACUUGGUGGAGACAACUGAGCACUGAAGGUGAUCCUUGGUAAAAGAUUGCCACUCCACCACCUUUGGAAGAUCUGUCUUUCCGAAAAAAAGUUUAGAACCAGAAAGGUUAAACAUCAGGAUUCAAAACACUCUUCCUUAACCACAUCUCAGUAAUGACCAACACAUCUGGAUUGGAGAUGUGAACCCACACUUUCAAUGGAUCCAUUUUAGGUAAUAAGCUUCCGAGUGUUAACGUGCAGAAAACCCCAAGGCUUUU